rnacentral:piRNA from 1 species
UCUCAAUGAGCUGUUGGGUACACCUCCCAG